rnacentral:rRNA from 1 species
CACGUAGGGUGCGAGCGUUGUCCGGAAUUAUUGGGCGUAAAGAGCUCGUAGGCGGUUCGGUAAGUCGGGUGUGAAAACUUUGGGCUUAACCCAAAGCGUGCACUCGAUACUGCCAUGACUAGAGUUCGGUAGGGGAGUGGGGAAUUCCUAGUGUAGCGGUGAAAUGCGCAGAUAUUAGGAGGAACACCGGUGGCGAAGGCGCCACUCUGGGCCGAAACUGACGCUGAGGAGCGAAAGCGUGGGUAGCAAACGGG